ACAAGGAAAGUCCGACCUGUUCAUGUCCAGUUACCACCAUUCGACCAAGCUGAACUUCAUGAGUCCACACGCCGGUAUCCCGUCAUCAUCAGCCAGCAUCUUUCCUUCGCCGACUUCCUACUGGACAAACCCGAGCGCCAACCUCUACUCCAACAUCGCGGCGGCCUCCAGCCACUCGAUGACGCACCACCCGAGCCACGUGACUUCACACCUCGGAUCGUAUCCGCACUAUGCAUGACCAGAUCCCGGAUGGACCAGGGAAUACAGGCGACUGGCAAUGUAAACUGCGCGCAGAGUAAGUGAGGAAGAAAUGAGCAUUUGCUUGCCAGAUCACGAGGUAUCUUCUCUGAGGAGUGCUGCGACAGUACUUUACAUAGGCUAUGGCGUAUCUUCCUCCAUUGGUCGAAAUUUAUCCUCCAGUUUAUGCUAGACACCUUUUGAAGUUGGUGUAGCGUCGAUUACCUACGACUCAAUACAUCACACACAAUGACCGAGAAGAACGAAAAAUUUACAAACGCGAGAUUUGACAGGAAGACUGUCGGUCUUCACAGAUUUGGUGAAGAAUUGCUUGUUCUUUCUCAUACGUUUGCUGAUACCAAUUUUUUUUAGAUAUUUAUUUCAUAAUCUGAAGUACAGAUAGAAAGAUCUGCGCUUUGCCUUUGAUAAGAAAAUGCGAGAAAUACGUUAAUCUCGUACUUAAAACAUUUCUUUCGCUGAUUAUAAAACAUUGGGUCAUCCUUGUAUCCCAGUGUAUAGACGUAGUGCUCAUGUUUUUUCAUAAUACUUAUUAAACGGAAUUCGACGUGUAAAUAACGCUAAAGCAAACCUUGCUACGUUAUGAUGAACUUUAAAAUUCCUAUAUUUGGUCAUCCAAAUACGAACAUUUAUUAAAAUAAAUGUAUUUAACACGCUUAUUAUUGUUUCAGUGGAAACCUUUUAUUAUUUUUGUCGGGAAUUAAACACGGGUCUUCCUGGAAUAGUAAAAUUUCACCUGAAGGCGACUUACCUCAAAUCUGAAUACGUUUAUGAUUUUACUUUUUAGAUUGGUUUUGAAUCGUGGCAUUACAUCGCUUUCCUCAUAACACAAGCGAUAUAAAUGAAUAAUUGUCCUUAUAAGAUGCGAUUCAAUACAGAAUUACUUUUAAAAAUCAUGAAGACAGGAAAAUGCAUAUACUGUGUAUUUAACGAGCAAACAAGAAAGUAAAAAUAACAUAUUUUAACUUGUGACGAUAGAACCGGAACUAUGUUGGUAUUCUCGCGAGGGUGUAAGCGUAUUCCUGAGUUAAAUAUAAUUUAUAUUUCAAACAGGCUAUUUAUUCCGAACUCCAAUUAGUUAUAGAAGCAAGCUCUGGUCCUCUUGAUGUUUUGAAAUUUAGUUUCUUUUGUUCCUUUAUCAGAUGACUUCGAUUGCAUUUUUCAAUAUUUUCUAACUAAAUUAGUAUCGGCAAUAUAUUUACACAUACUGAUGAUGAGGCCUGUGUUGUUAAUAGGAAAAUUAAUUUUAACUUGCCGAAUAUGAGAUUUUAUUUUAUAUAUUAGCAUAUUUGUUUACAACUGUAUGUGUAUCAUUCAUUAGUAUUAUUAUUUUUGUAUCUGAUCGAUCACAUUUAUGAAACUUGCAUUGCUUUAUAAUUAUUUACGUUAUAUUUUAAUUUACGUUUACAACCUUUAUGCCGCGUAUUUAUUUUAUGGACAUUUAAAGAACCCAGAUUUCCUAUAUAGUAGAAUGCAGCACUUUUUUUUCCUUCAAAUAUUGCACUGCCUUCUAUUGCUGGCUCGGUCUGUUCAUUCUGAGUAUUUCUCCUCGGCGUCAGGAAAUCCGCCAUGCUGUGCGUAUCAGAACUUGGUGCUAAUAGUUUAAUAUUUGUUGUAAGUCCUAAAUUCAGCUCCACCUUGUUUAAACAUUAAACAUUUACUUCUCAACCAGAAAUCACUGUUGCGGUAUUGACCUUCUCGUUCAAAUAGAGCAGGCCACUCGAACUCAUAUGAUUUCUGAGGUCCUACUCACUUGACGGGGAAGGAAAUAAUAGCACGGUAAGAGUGCUUAGAAUUUAAUUACACACUAAAUAAUUAAUUGUAAUAAAGGUUAAUUUAUGUUUCAUUAAUUAGUUAUGUUUUAUAAUUUUAAAAUAUAAUUUGAUUUUGGUAAUAACAAGCGUGAGAGAAGAAUUUCAACGUCCUUCUUAACCAUCAUUUCAUCAUUGCUUCAUAGCGGUGACCACAUUAAUAAACCGUCGGUCCUAAGUUAGGGGUUUCACUUCUGACCUGGCACUUUACUGGUCUCGGUGUAAAAGUUGUUUUAUUCAGUCAAAUACGUGGUUUAUGUCGACUUUGUUAUGAGCAUAUUCAUAUCUUUAACGUGAUUAUUUUAUGAUCUAUACAUAGCAUGCACAGUUAAUUUAAUUUUACUAUUUGUUAAUUUAUUUAUAUUUUAAUUGUAUUUUAACUGCUCAAAUUAAUUGAAUUAUUUGAUACCGUUAGAUUGCAGAAAAACACCAAGGCAAUUUACGGUCUAAUUCUGCUAUACAAAACAUAGGCCUACACACACACACACACACAUAUGUAUAUAUACAGGUGACUUUUCUUUGUUUUUGAACGUCGUAAUUGUGAGCGCCCGAGAACUUGCCUACUUAUAACUGAAUGGGUGUGAAAAUAAUCUUCUUUUCUCGUAUCUUAAUACUGAGCAAUAACGUUCUGUAGGUAUUCCAGGAAAAAGAAUGUUAAAAACAAAGUAAGCAGUGUUUGUAGUAUUAUUUCUACAAUUUGCCAAAACAUUCUAAAGCCAAUACUGGUUUCAUUCACAACAAAAAUAAAUUUAUUUGUCUGAAUAUACGCCAGCUUUUUGUCAUGCUGCUAUGGCAGUGAAUACAGACAGCUAUAUUACGAAUAAGUGCUUAACAGGGUAGAAUGAAGAAUUGUCCAGGAAGAGGCCAGCGGUUACUCAAGUACCUCGGACUACCUGGCGAUUCUUCACACCGCCGCGCACUAUGACUGUGAAAGUUUAAAUUUUUGUCGUCUCCUUCCUGUGUGUUUGGUAAACAGUUGAUAAACCGUGGUUGUCGGUGAUGAGCUCACGCACGCGCGGUAACAUCUGCAUCAACCAAACGUAUAGACGAGACACCAGGGUAUCAUAAGUAUAUCAAUUUUUUCAGUAAGUCAUGAAGGACUUGUCACGAACAAAUAAAGAAAAAAAUAUAUAAUUGGGCGACAGCGUUGAAUAAAUACGGCAGGUAGAAACUCUGUGGUGAAAACUAGUCAGUGCCCUCUGAGACACGCCGUCUCUAGUCAGUGAUCGAUUUGGGGGUGCAGUAGGGGUCCGUGGUGUGAACUUUGUGCCUCGAAGAUUCAAAAGAACUCUCAAACAUAAGCAGUUUUCUCAAUCAACAACGGAGGAGAGGAUUGGUAGGUUGUUCACCAAUCACCGUCAGUGUUGUCCUGAGUUCCUUGUUCAUUGUAAUACUCAUUGUUACUCACGAUCUCAUAAAAUCUGUACUCAUUGAGGGGGUCGAAGCUUCGCUUUGCGCAUUUCGCAUAGCGUUGUGAUUUGUUUUUCCGCUACCGCAAUCAUUAGUAUAAAGUAACUGUUUCCCCUCAUGUGAUGUUUUCAUCUCUUAUAAUUUUUAGACUGUUAUUAAUGUACAUACACAUAAGUACUUAGUUAUGUAAGGUAAUUGUUCUUGAAGGGUUGUGGUGUUUUCUUGUAUGCGACUAAUAAGAGUCCUUUUCUGUACCAACUUGUCAACCCAUUCCCUCUGGUGUAAGUAAGUGGAUCUGCCGAUUGCGUAACAGUUAAGGAUCUGAACAUACACAUGAUUCAUUACGUACGCGAAAAAUUAAAGCCUAGAAAAAAUCUGCAACCAGGAGUUAACUUGUAUCUUAACGAAAAAACUUUUUUCAAAUGUACUCCAAUCAAGAUUUGAAGUUGAAAGCAAUGACAGUUUUGUGAAGCAGACUCAAGCAAAAUGUCAGCAAAAACGUCCCGGAACAAGUCUCUUAAGCAAACUGAAAUCAAAUCCCGAAGUAAGAAGGACAUUAUUAUCAACUAUGAUAUUAUAAAUCUGAAUCAUUCUCUUCCCUGCAUAUUGUGACAAAUAAUAUGCAGUGGAAUUUAGUAACUAUCAGCGGAAAUUGCCUACUGUUUAUGCAUAAAGUGUGAAUGAUAUUUCGACGUGUUUGUUUCUUGUGCCGCACUGCGUUAGGUUUUCGUUGAAAUUAAGUUUGGAACAUCGUACAGCGGAAUGAACAUCGGAAGUGAAUAAGAUGCGCUUACUUGCACCCAGUCUUCAAAUUCCCGAAAAGGCCACCAUGUGUCUUGGACGUGCAAGUUUCUGUGUGAUGUCCGCUGCUGCUGUUCAAGUAAAUGCUGGUGGGAACGGAAUUGUUAAGGAACUGGGCAACGAGUUUGUCGAAUGAAUGGAAUAAUUGAGUAGGAUUUAAAUAAACUUUAGUAUAAUUCAGUUGUAUACGUUACGACUUUAAGUGCAGCCUCCGAACGUUAGUAAAUUGAAUCAAAAGAAACUUAUGUAUUUUGGCGUUUUGUUCAUGGGCGAAUAUAUCCAGAAGCAAUUCGCUCGGGUCAAAUGUUGGUACUAAGCUUAACUGACUGCUCUUGGCCAAAGUUUCAGUUCGGUUCAACUUGGUCUCCAUUCACGACGGCAGUUCCCAGUUUCUUUAUGAUUGCGUCCCUCUGUCAAGCCGUUCUUAUCUCGGAGGCCUUUUCCUUGUUCUAGUCCUAUCACAAUAGUCACUAAGUUCCAGUAAAACGUGGGAAACACAAAUGACACUUUAUAAAUGUAUUAUAGUCACCCAGUGUAUAAACGUCAGCAACCGGUCUUGUACGCUAAACAUAUUUGUGGAUUUUAUUGUAUAAAUGUUAUUACAUGUUAUUUACCAAAGACAUUGGCAUAGAGGAAAUUAUAAACCAAGUAUGUUUUGGUUUUGUAACAAAAAGGUCAA